CCCUCAGGAGGGUAACCCCGGGAACUGGGGCUAAUCCCCGAUAAGUGAGGAGUCCUGGAAUGGUUCUUCAUUUAAAGGGCGUCAGGGGCAUGCUUCCUGGCGUUGCCCGAGGAUGGGGCCGCGUCUGAUCAGGUUGUUGGUGAGGUAAUGGCCCACCAAGCCUAUAACCAGUACGGGCUGUGAGAGCGGGAGCCCGGAGAUGGGCACUUAGACAAGGGCCCAGGCCCUACGGGGCGCAGCAGGUGCGAAAACUCCACAAUGCACGAAAGUGUGAUGGGGCCAUCCCGAGUGCUGUCCGCUGAGGACAGCUUUUCUGCGCUGUAAGGAGGCGUAGGAAUAAGGAGAGGGCAAGCCUGGUGUCAGCCGCCGCGGUAAUACCAGCUCUCCGAGUGGUGGGGAUGAUUAUUGGGCUUAAAGCGUCCGUAGCCGGCUCUUCAAGUCUUUCGUUAAAUCCAGCGAUUCAAUCGCUGGACUGCGGGAGAUACUGCUGAGCUAGGAGGCGAGAGAAGUCGACGGUAUUUCCGGGGUAGGAGUGAAAUCCUAUAAUCCCGGGAGGACCACCAGUGGCGAAGGCGGUCGACUAGAACGCGCUCGACGGUGAGGGACGAAAGCUGGGGGAGCGAACCGGAUUAGAUACCCGGGUAGUCCCAGCCGUAAACGAUGCGAGCUAGGUGUUAGGGUGGCUACGAGCCGCUCUAGUGCCGCAGGGAAACCGCUAAGCUCGCCGCCUGGGGAGUACGGCCGCAAGGCUGAAACUUAAAGGAAUUGGCGGGGGAGCAC
rnacentral:rRNA from 1 species